GUCGUGUUCCGCGGGAACAGGUGCUGGCCCCUGGAGCAUCCCUCGGGACCGGACGUAUGGUGGACGAUGCCCCUCCUCACCCAGCACGUCCAAGAUGAGAAUGAUCAGUACAGCUUAGUGGCCAGCCUGGACAACGUUAGGAAUCUCUCCACUGUCCUGAAAGCCAUUCAUUUCCGAGACCAUGCCAUGUGUUUCGCUACUAAAAAUGGAAUCAAGGUUACAGUGGAAAAUGCAAAGUGUGUGCAAGCGAAUGCUUUUAUUCAGGCUGGGAUAUUUCAAGAAUUUAGGGUUCAGGAAGAGUCUGUUACUUUUCGAAUUAAUUUAACUGUCCUUCUAGACUGUUUAUUUAUUUUUGGAUCAAAUCCUAUGCCAGGGACUUUAACUGCACUUCGGAUGUGUUACCAAGGCUAUGGUUACCCUUUGAUGCUGUUUCUGGAAGAAGGAGGAGUGGUGACUGUCUGCAAAAUCAAUACUCAGGAGCCUGAGGAGACUCUGGAUUUUGAUUUCUGCAGCACCAAUGUAAUUAAUAAAAUUAUUCUGCAGUCAGAGGGGCUCCGUGAAGCAUUUUCCGAGUUGGAUAUGACAAGUGAGGUCCUCCAGAUUACCAUGUCUCCUGACAAGCCUUAUUUCAGGUUAUCUACUUUUGGAAAUGCAGGAAGUUCCCACCUUGACUAUCCUAAAGAUUCUGAUUUGAUGGAAGCAUUUCAUUGUAAUCAAACCCAGGUCAACAGAUACAAGAUUUCUUUACUAAAACCCUCUACAAAGGCAUUAAUCCUAUCUUGUAAGGUAUCGAUUCGGACAGAUAACCGAGAAUUUCUCUCAUUACAGUACAUGAUUAGAAAUGAAGAUGGACAAAUAUGUUUUGUGGAAUAUUACUGCUGCCCUGACGAAGAAGUUUCUGAGUCUUGAGUGUGACAAUUCACUGUAAUAUUUAUAUGUACAUUUAUGAUAGGCUAAGUUCUCAUUCUGAGUACUGUACUCUUCAUAAUUUUUUAGUGGAUUUUCUAUAAAGAAGUAUGGAGAAGUUAGGAGCAAGUUCCCUGUACCUUAAUAGUUGCUAUGUACUUUGUAAAUAUAUGUUUUCAUGCAGUCAGAGAUUAUCCAGUAUUGGACUGUCCUGUGGUUCUGUCUCUUGAAUUCAUGGGAAUCAUUGUGAGCCAAGAUGAAUAAACUCUAAGUUCUAUUCUGUUUAAGGAGAACAUUUCAGGAGUCUAAAGAUUUAAAGUUUGAUGAAGCCAUAUCUGAAGUGUUCUUUUAUUUAUUUUUUAUUAGAAAAAGCAAAGGCAUAUGGGCAUUGCUUAUUAGUUUAGUGUUGUGCCCAGAUCAACAGCAUUAGAAUCACCUGGGUUGUCAGAAGCUCUGGGAAUGAGGCCAGCAACCUGUAUUUUAACAAGCUUCCACCAGUAAUUUCUUAUGUAUGCUAAAGUUUGGGAACUAUUGUUUUAAAGGAUACCAUUUUGUUUGUUUGUUUUUAAAUAGCAUUUACUUGCAUCGAAAUGAUUGCUUUUACAUGUGACUUCUUUGCAAACACUCUGAAGUUGAGGUAUCACCAAAUAACUCUGAACAAUUCUUUAUAUGAUUUAUUUUUACAGUAUACUUUUUAAAGACAUCUGUAAACAGGAUAUAGAACAGUCAUCAGAGUUACAGAUUUCUUUCUUGUACUCAAAACUGUUCAAUUCAGUAACUACUUAUUAGAUACCUUCCAUUUGCCUAUAAGAGUUUCUUGAUGAAAUCAAAGUGUAGAAAACCAGUUAUUAAAUGAUUUUGUACUUUCCUGAGUAGUUUUCACUGAAAUAAUUUUUGUGGCAUGCAAAUAUUUUUUGUAUUUAAUAAAAUAUAAUACUUAAAUAAAAAAAAUAAUAAUAAUUCUACCUGUUUUCUUUAUUUUUUAACGUGGCUACUGGAAAAUUAAAAUUGCAUACAUGGGUUGUAUUAUACUUCCAUUGGAUAAUGCUGAUCUAGAAUACUCCCCUAUCCAUUCAGCAUUUCAGAGUUAAUUUGAUUUUUAUGCUUAUGGUUUUUUAAAAAGAACCUACCUAUAAUGGUAUACAUAGAAGUCUCAAAGCCACUGCCUAAAAUUCUUAUGUUUCCUAUAGUAAUUUUAUCUCACACAGAUAUCAGGAAAUUAUCAGCUAUCACAAACAGACUCUUUGGCAGGAAAAAUCUUCAUAUAAUUUCAAGAUCAUUAUUCACCCUCUUCUUAGCAAGGCCUUCAAAUCCUUUAAUCCCACUUCCAGAGCCACUACUAUAAUCUAGGGCACCACAAUCUCUCACCUGUACAUCUGAAACAGCUUUCUAAUGGCCUUCUACCUUCAACCCAUUUUUUCCCCCAACAGUAGCCAGAAGAAUCUUUCCUACUUCUCUCUCCUGCCUACUGUCUCUUCUUCCCUCUUAGACUCUGCAUGCCAACCAUUGUGAACUGUGCAGUUCUAUAAAGGUGCCAUGCUUUCCUUAGCUUCUGGACUUUGUUUCUUCUGUCAGAACCCAAACCCAUCACCCUCCUUGUAUUUGAUCAACUUGUGCUCUAUUUUCAGUGUAGGGUUAGACAAGAAGGGUGUGUCUGGUAUACAGGAUUCAAAGGGAAGGCAUCUCCUGGCCUCCAAGAACCUGUCUUUGCCACCAUAGGGCUUGCACUCUAUUAGCAGCAGAUUUAUAAGCAUAAUACAAGCCACACACGUUACCCUAGACAUAUGCUAA